rnacentral:rRNA from 1 species
GGAAUAUUGGGCAAUGCCCGCAAGGGUGACCCAGCAACGCCGCGUGGAGGAUGACUGCCGUAAGGUUGUAAACUCCUGUUAGAGGGGACGAAUUAUCCCGAUCGCAUCGGGAUUUGACGGUACCCUCAGAGGACGCCCCGGCUACCUACGUGCCAGCAGCCGCGGUAAUACGUAGGGGGCAAGCGUUGUCCGGAUUUACUGGGUGUAAAGGGCGCGCAGGCGGGCUAGCAAGUCAGAGGUGAAAUCUCCCGGCUUAACCGGGAAACUGCCUUUGAAACUGUUAGUCUUGAGUGCGGAAGAGAGAGACGGAAUUCCAGGUGUAGUGGUGGAAUACGUAGAUAUCUGGAAGAACACCAGUUGCGAAGGCGGUCUCUUGGUCCGCUUCUGACGCUGAGGCGCGAAAGCGUGGGGAGCAAAC